UACGAAGGGGGCUAGCGUUGCUCGGAAUCACUGGGCGUAAAGGGUGCGUAGGCGGGUCUUUUAAGUCAGGGGUGAAAUCCUGGAGCUCAACUCCAGAACUGCCUUUGAUACUGAAGAUCUUGAGUUCGGGAGAGGUGAGUGGAACUGCGAGUGUAGAGGUGAAAUUCGUAGAUAUUCGCAAGAACACCAGUGGCGAAGGCGGCUCACUGGCCCGAUACUGACGCUGAGAAGCGAAAAGCAUGGGGGAGCGAACAGG
rnacentral:rRNA from 1 species